UACGAAGGGGGCAAGCGUUGUUCGGAAUUACUGGGCGUAAAGGGCUCGUAGGUGGCCAACUAAGUCAGACGUGAAAUCCCUCGGCUUAACCGGGGAACUGCGUCUGAUACUGGAUGGCUUGAGUUUGGGAGAGGGAUGCGGAAUUCCAGGUGUAGCGGUGAAAUGCGUAGAUAUCUGGAGGAACACCGGUGGCGAAGGCGGCAUCCUGGACCAACACUGACACUGAGGAGCGAAAGCCAGGGGAGCAAACGGG
rnacentral:rRNA from 1 species